CAACAGGGAUUGCCCCAGUAACGGCGAGUGAAGCGGCAAGAGCUCAAAUUUGAAAUCUGGCCCUCUCAGGGUCCGAGUUGUAAUUUGUAGAGGGUGCUUUGGCGUCGGCCCCGGCCUAAGUUCCUUGGAACAGGACGUCACAGAGGGUGAGAACCCCGUACGUGGCCGCCGGCCUUCGCCGUGUAAAGCCCCUUCGACGAGUCGAGUUGUUUGGGAAUGCAGCUCUAAAUGGGAGGUAAAUUUCUUCUAAAGCUAAAUACUGGCCAGAGACCGAUAGCGCACAAGUAGAGUGAUCGAAAGAUGAAAAGCACUUUGGAAAGAGAGUCAAAAAGCACGUGAAAUUGUUGAAAGGGAAGCGCUUGCAGCCAGACUUGCCUGUAGUUGCUCAUCCGAGCUCCCGCUCGGUGCACUCUUCUGCGGGCAGGCCAGCAUCAGUCCGGGCGGUCGGAUAAAGGCUCCGGGAAUGUAGCUCCCCUCGGGGAGUGUUAUAGCCCGGGGUGCCAUGCGACCAGCCUGGACUGAGGUCCGCGCAUCUGCUAGGAUGCUGGCGUAAUGGCUGUAAGCGGCCCGUCUUGAAACACGGACCAAGGAGUCUAACAUCUAUGCGAGUGUUUGGGUGUCAAGCCCGGGCGCGCAAUGAAAGUGAACGGAGGUGGGAACCCCUCGGGGCGCACCAUCGACCGAUCCUGAUGUCUUCGGAUGGAUUUGAGUAAGAGCAUAGCUGUUGGGACCCGAAAGAUGGUGAACUAUGCCUGAAUAGGGUGAAGCCAGAGGAAACUCUGGUGGAGGCUCGCAGCGGUUCUGACGUGCAAAUCGAUCGUCAAAUUUGGGCAUAGGGGCGAAAGACUAAUCGAACUA
rnacentral:rRNA from 1 species